rnacentral:rRNA from 1 species
GACGAACGCUGGCGGCGUGCUUAACACAUGCAAGUCGAACGGAAAGGCCCUGCUUUUGUGGGGUGCUCGAGUGGCGAACGGGUGAGUAACACGUGAGUAACCUGCCCUUGACUUUGGGAUAACUUCAGGAAACUGGGGCUAAUAUCGGAUAGGAGCUCCUGCUGCAUGGUGGGGGUUGGAAAGUUUCGGCGGUUGGGGAUGGACUCGCGGCUUAUCAGCUUGUUGGUGGGGUAGUGGCUUACCAAGGCUUUGACGGGUAGCCGGCCUGAGGGGGUGACCGGCCACAUUGGGACUGAGAUACGGCCCAGACUCCUACGGGAGGCAGCAGUGGGGAAUAUUGCACAAUGGGCGGAAGCCUGAUGCAGCAACGCCGCGUGCGGGAUGACGGCCUUCGGGUUGUAAACCGCUUUCGCCUGUGACGAAGCGUGAGUGACGGUAAUGGGUAAAGAAGCACCGGCUAACUACGUG